rnacentral:tRNA from 1 species
GAGGUGGUUACAACGAACUGCUAACUCACAGCCCCGGGCUAAGCCCCCGGCCACCUCU